rnacentral:tRNA from 1 species
UGGAUGGUCACGGAUAGUACCGUACCGGACUUUUAAUCCGGGUGUCGUGGGUUCGACCCCCACACGGCCCACCA